rnacentral:lncRNA from 1 species
CUUCCGACCUUGUGUGGCAUCUUUCCGAACUCCCCCGACUGUCCGAGCUUCUAUAAUACCAUUCGGACUUCUCCGGUAAUGAGCUUUUCCAUUCAUCUACCGGGCUGCUCCAAACACUUUCCGAGCUUCUCCAACAGCAGGAUGUCUCAAGUAACCAGACUCCAUCCAAGUUUCUACGGCGGUCGACCGCCUUUCGAAUUUCAUCCGAGGUCCUACAAGAACCAAACUCCAUCCGAACUUAGACAGUGGAUGGAUCACAGAUGAACUUCUACGAUGGAUAGGCUCCACUGGAUCUCUACUCCAAACUUCUUUCGAACUUUGUCAAUGACCGAGCUUCUUUAGCAGUGGGACUUCUACAAUAAGAAGUCUCCAUCCGAGCUUCCACGGCAGCCGGCCUUCGUCCGAGCUUCUACAAUAAGAAGUCUCUAUCUAAACUCCUACAAGAGUCGGACUCCGUCCGAACUUCUACGAUAGAAUUGAAUCCCGGACUCCUCCAACGUUCGACCUUCCCCAGUGUCCUCAAGACUCCUCCAGCGGACGAACCUCCACAGCACCA